UGGGAAUAAGAUAGUGGGUGAAACCACAUAACAUAAAGAGUAUCUCCUGCUAGUUAGACAUAGAUUGGAAGGUGGGUGACCAUGUACUGUGCAUCAUCCAGUCGAUGAGACAAAUCAUCCUAUGCCCUCCAGGGCCUGAACAAGGUCCCACUGCAGAGAGGAUCACCGCAAGACUCCAGACUCGGUAGGCAGAUUGAUGCAUGUGAGCAUCAGGAUCAGGAUUCUCCAGGGC